UACGUAGGGGGCAAGCGUUGUCCGGAUUUAUUGGGCGUAAAGAGCGUGUAGGCGGUUUGGUAGGUCCGCUGUGAAAACUCGAGGCUCAACCUCGAGACGCCGGUGGAAACCAUCAGGCUAGAGUCCGGAAGAGGAGAGUGGAAUUCCUGGUGUAGCGGUGAAAUGCGCAGAUAUCAGGAAGAACACCCGUGGCUAAGGCGGCUCUCUAGUACGGUACUGACGCUGAGACGCGAAAGCGUGGGGAGCGAAACAGG
rnacentral:rRNA from 1 species